AACGAACGCUGGCGGCAUGCCUAACACAUGCAAGUCGAACGAGACCUUCGGGUCUAGGGGCGCACGGGUGCGUAACGCGUGGGAACCUGCCCUUAGGUUCGGAAUAACUCCCCGAAAGGGGUGCUAAUACCGGUUAAUGUCUUCGGACCAAAGAUUUAUCGCCUUUGGAUGGGCCCGCGUUGGAUUCGCUAGUUGGUAGGGUAAAAGCCUACCAUGGCGACGAUCCAUAGCUGGUCUGAGAGGAUGAUAAGCCACACUGGAACUGAGACACGGCCCAGACUCCGACGGGAGGGAGCAGUGGGGAAUAUUGGACAAUGGGCGAAAGCCUGAUCCAGCAAUGCCGCGUGAGUGAUGAAGGCCUUAGGGUUGUAAAGCUCUUUUACCCGGGAUGAUAAUGACAGUACCGGGAGAAUAAGCUCCGGCUAACUCCGUG
rnacentral:rRNA from 1 species